UACGUAGGGUGCAAGCGUUAAUCGGAAUUACUGGGCGUAAAGCGUGCGCAGGCGGUUGUGCAAGACCGAUGUGAAAUCCCCGGGCUCAACCUGGGAACUGCAUUUGUGACUGCAUGGCUGGAGUGCGGCAGAGGGGGAUGGAAUUCCGCGUGUAGCAGUGAAAUGCGUAGAUAUGCGGAGGAACACCGAUGGCGAAGGCAAUCCCCUGGGCCUGCACUGACGCUCAUGCACGAAAGCGUUGGGAGCAAACAGG
rnacentral:rRNA from 1 species